ACUGCAUAGCCGUGUCCGGGUUCCCCUGCCAAUCAGGCAGGGGUAAAAGGGAACCAGGUGAAAAUCCUGGACGGUGGGGCCACUGUGAAUGGGUAGCAGCUUUCCACAGGGCCACUGGUCCAGCACUCACGGAUAAGGGUACUCCGUUCAACAGUGAAUGAUGUAACAGCAUGGUAGUUUAACCAAUGUCACUGGUGAGUACUGGGCCGGGAAGGCGGAAAGCAGGCGAUGACCCAUGAGUCAGGAGACCUGCCCGGGCACGCGGCACGGA
rnacentral:ncRNA from 2 species